UUUACUACAAGUACAAGUUAUUAAGCAACAUUUACAAGGGAGUGCAAGCCAAUAUAACAGGGAUUUGGCUUUAUUUUUAAGACGCCAGUAGGGUUAAAAGUGGGAUUUUGUAGUGGGAUUAAAUAAAUGCUGCCUCUUCAUUUCUUUCUUUAUGGCGCCGGUGGUGGUUACAAUGGAUCUGGAUGAAGCGACUGCCCUUCAAUCUCCCCUUCAAUUCUCAAUCGGCACAUAAAGAUCAGAUGGAACCAGUGAGGAAUUGCGAGGCUCUAGGGUUCAUGUGAACAAAUUGAGAGACGAGAAUAACUCAAUGGUGGUGGCGGCUGCUAUUAAAGUAAGGUUUAGGGUUCUGCAGCGGUCAAUGGUGUUCUACGGCGGUGAACAAGCAACGGCGGAUUGGGGCUCAAGCAACGGCGGAUUGGGGCUUCGGUAGAGAGACCGGCGAGUGUUAUCAACCACUACGGCCAGAGAAACCCUAGGCUUGUUAUGACAAGAAAUACCAGGAGAAGCGCACUCUUUGAAGGUGGAGAAAGUGUUGUUUCAGGGCAAGAAGUCUGAUUACCAGAAUGUUAUGGUAUUUCAGAAUUUCUUUGUAGCUUCCGGUUUGCUUGGAGACAGAGGGUCUCUCACGUUGACUUUUCCUGGUCCAAGUGCAACACUCGAGCUAUGGAGAUCAUCGUCUGAGUUCUGUGCUAUUAGAUCAAACCCAAUACGAAAUUCGUGGGUUUGGGUUUGGUAUAACCGGUUUCGGGUCAGUUUCAAUUGAACCCGUUUAGCUAAACGGGUUGUGUUUGACGGAUUCAUGAAUUACCUUUAACCCAUUUAUAUUUUAAAAAUGUAUAUUAUUUAUUGUUUUAAAUAUGUGAAUUAAAGUAUUAACAAUAUGUUUUAAACAGUUAUUUUCCAUUGAUUUCAUCAAUCUCAUAUUCACAAAUUCUUUCUUAAAAGUAUGUUAUUAAGGUUAUAAGGAUAGGAGGUUUUGCUACAAAAUAAACUGUUUAUAUUUACUUUCAACAGCUGAUCAUUCUUUUUAAUAAAGUGAUUUAGGAUUUAUUAAGGUUAAAAGACUGCAUGUGAAGAAUAUGCUGCUGCGUUUGGGGCCUGAUUUUGAGACUCAGAUGAAGGCUGCAGAUUGGGUUUUAAAAGCCCAUACACAUUUGCUGCUGCGGAUCAAGAUGAAGGCUAAACUCAUCAGCUGGUUCGUAGUCUCGGGGUACGGUAUUUGGUCCGGAAUCUGCAUGUUACAGGAGUCACAAUCUGUAUUCAUACGGGUUCUCGGUAUGGGUUAUACCUAUUCGGAAUUCUUAGUCAGUUUGCAGCUCUCCGAGUUUCCUGUGGCUGGGUGUUGACCCUAAGUUUGGCCUAUAAUUGCUGGUCCGGAACUGUUAUUUGCUGGAACGAAAUGGCGCCUGGUUACCUCAUCAUGGAAUGCGAAAGAGCGGUAUUUGGCCUUCCACAAUGUUACUGCCAUGGUUGGAUUUGGUUACCAGCAGCAGCAGCAUCUGGUUCUUGGAAUGAGGCCGGCUGGUGGUCGUAGGUUUGCACUAGCUGUCUGAUUAGGUCAAAGUCGUGGGACUGGUUUCGUCCAAACAACUUCCAUGCAGCAACAGAUACGUAAAUGAUGUUUACUAAUUAUAAUACCAUGUUGUCUUACUAUUGAAUUAAUUAAAUAUAAACUCAGUUAUGAUAAAUCAUUAAUUGUGUAGUUUAUUGAUGACAAACAAUAUGUAUUUGGAGCAUAAUUAACUUUCCAUUACAGAUCUUAUAUUGUUAGUAGUAACAAAUAUUGCAUCAUAAACAAAUUAUGCUUGAUAGAGUUUCAGGUAGUAUUCUUGAAGAAUAUCUAUAUAAAUUUGCCAUUAAUUAUCCGUUUCUUUUUAUAGCAGCCUAGAGUGCAUUUUCUUUUAUUGUAUAAAUGGGUAUUUGACAUGUGGUUUAAGUUAUCUAUUGAACGGUCUGAUAGUUGUCAAAAGUGGCCAUGAGCGAGCUUCAGGUGGAUAUAUAAAAAACACCCUAUGUGGCAAUGGCAUGAGGCAUUAAUGCAUAACACAUGACUUGUUGGAUCUGUGAAAGGUUUAUCGUAGGUAGGCUACUUGAGAAGUGUCUCCAAUUCAGAAAUAUAAACCACCUGAAAGCGUCACAACUUAUAUAUGAUUUUUUUAAUCAUUUUAAGGGUUGAAUUAUGAUCCUCCCUAUAUUGUUGAGUCCGCUGCAACGCGCGGGUUCCCCACUAGUAUUAUAUAAUGAUAGAAAAGAAACUGAAUGAAUAGUGAUUUCAACAUAUAUUAAUUUAUUAUCUUAAUAAUUACCCACCUCAUUCAAACCCUAGCCCUUACCUAUUUUCUCUGCCUCUCCCUCGACCUCUCCAGAUUCCGGUCACCGGAGCCGGAUUCCGACCAGGUUUCUGGCAACCAUCUCCGGCCACACACACGCCGAAACACCCCCUCAACUCCUCUCCGCUUUCAACCCCAUCCCUGACCUCUGCUCUAUCGAAAGGCCGGCCACCACUGUGGUGGUGGCGCAGUCGUACGGCGCCAUGGACGCAGCGAGAGAGAGAUAGACGAUUAGAGAGAGAGAGACGGAGCGGAGAAAGAGGGACGGCAGAACCGUCUGCCCGGCGGCCGGAAACGCGCGUCACGGUGGCGGUGUUGCUGGUUGGAUGCGGCGGCGAUGACUCGUCUCAGAAAAACACCAUCGCAGUCACCGAAGAAACCCGCAAGACGCCGCAACCAUCGGAGACGAAGUCGUUACAUCGGAACCCGACGACGGCACCGGGACGCAAACCGAAAUGAUCAGACCAAUCGCUUGGGUUGAAAUCGAAACAGAGACGGAGACGGAGAGUGUAAAGACUUCAAGCAGGUUUUGUUGGCGGCGGCGGCGGUUCCAUAAGCCUCAACGGCGGCGGCGAACACAGCGUUCAGAUCCACGUAACCAACGGUCACUGGAUAAAAGUGGUUCGAUGAGAAUUCCGACGGGAAAAGAACUAGGGUUCCGGUGAUACUGGAUGACGAUUUCAGGUAUGACUUCAGGUUGCAUGAAACUCUUUCAUAUAGAUCUGAUUUCUAUUUCUGCCAUUGAUUCUGGUUGGAUGGGCAUACAAGGGAUUGCAUUGGCUUUAAAAUAUUUGCUUUUUGAAGGCUUGGGAACUGUAUUGUUUGGAUAAUUCUGAUGUACCUAGAACCAAAGACCUUCCAGUUUUGCAUUCUUGAUAUCCCGAGUUUCGGUAAGAGGAGGUGGAGUAUUGAGAGCAACAAAAUUAGAUGCACAUAUUGUAUAACACUACAAACCAAGAAUGAAUAUUGUAUAACACCAAAAGAUGUGUCGAUGUUUUGUAUGGAAGCCUUCCCAAUCCCAAUUAUAAUUUAACAGGUGGAAAUUUUCACAUAUUAGCCUUAGGUAUACUUAAUUUAUUAGUAUUGUUUUCAUUUUGGUGUAUACUUCAAUCGAACGCGACGCGUUAGCGGUGCGCCAAAGAAAGAAGGUGUGACGACACCACCAAGUUAAGCACCAAGUCAACAACAGACUGGUAAAUUAGCUCAGAUUGGACCUUUAGUAGGUUCGGUGGUGUUGUCGGCUAGGAAAGAUAGCCGGGUUUGGGAGUUGGACGGGUCGGAUUGCGUUUUAGUUAGCAGUUUGAAAAAGAGGUUGGAGGUGAGAAAUUGUGUAUAGCAAGAUAUGUCGUUUGUUUGGAACAGUUGGGAGCCCAAAAAGGCAUGCAUCGUGGAAUGGCGAACGGAGCUGGACCGUCUUUAGACAAGGGCUCUUUGGUUGCAAGGAACAUAAAUAUUGACUUCCAACUAUAUUCUUUGUGCGCUGAUGAUAUUGAGAUUGCGGAGCAUUUAUUUGUUUCGUGUCAUUUCUCGCAAACUGUCUGAAUUAUAUCCCUACGUCGAAGAACAAGAAAGUCCUGAAUGUUGUGUUCAUUACGGUCUUCAGGUCCAUUUGGAAAAUGCGAAACGAAUCUCUUUUUAGUCAAAAGGCGCCAUCAAUUGCUAAGGUGGUGGAAGAGGUUAAAACGUUGGGCUUCUUGCGGAUUAGAAACAGGUCGCGAACUUUAACUAUGACAUGGGAUGACUAGAGAGCGUUCAAUUUGUGUAGUCUUGGGUUAUUUUGGUCCUGGGUCUAUGUUUUGCUUGAUCUUUGGGCUGUAGUAUGGUUGUUUUGGUGAUUGGUUAUGAACCUUGGGGUACACUGUUUGCAAGCUAGCUUCUUGCUACUUUGCAUUCUUGGUUUUAGCAGUGAAUAAAUUUGU